UGGGCUACACACGUGCUACAUUGGAUAAGACAAUGAGUCGCGAGCCUGCGAAGGUCAGCAAAUCUAUAAACUUAUUCUAAGUUCAGAUUGUAGGCUGCAACUCGCCUACAUGAAGUUGGAAUCGCUAGUAAUCGCUGGUCAGCCAUACAGCGGUGAAUCCGUUCCCGGGCCUUGUACACACCGCCCGUCACACCAUGGGAGCUGGUUAUACCCGAAGUUGUUAUCCUAACCUUUUGGAGGGGGGCGCCUAAGGUAGAAUUAGUGACUGGGGUGAAGUCGUAACAAGGUAGCCCUACUGGAAGGUGGGGCUGGAUCACCUCCUUU
rnacentral:rRNA from 1 species